GGCUGCGGUUAAUUUACCUACCAGCCAAACCACAUGCAUGCCGAGGGGAGCCAACCACUGCGUGAAAUUGUGCAAGUGCUGCUCGGCGAGAAUUUCUGUAGGUGCCACCACGGCAACCUGAUAGCCCGAGGCGGCGACAUGCAAAGCAGAUACGGCUGCAACCAGCGUUUUACCCGACCCCACAUCUCCCUGCACCAUGCGCAACAUCGGCAGAGACUUUGUUAAAUCUUUUUCGAUAUCCUGCAGGACGCGUU
rnacentral:ncRNA from 1 species